rnacentral:rRNA from 1 species
GACGAACGCUGGCGGCGUGCUUAACACAUGCAAGUCGAACGGAAAGGCCCUGCUUUUGUGGGGUGCUCGAGUGGCGAACGGGUGAGUAACACGUGAGUAACCUGCCCUUGACUUUGGGAUAACUUCAGGAAACUGGGGCUAAUACCGGAUAGGAGCUCCUGCUGCAUGGUGGGGGUUGGAACGUUUCGGCGGGUGGGGAUGGACUCGCGGCUUAUCAGCUUGUUGGUGGGGUAGUGGCUUACCAAGGCUUUGACGGGUAGCCGGCCUGAGAGGGUGACCGGGCACAUUGGGACUGAGAUACGGCCCAGACUCCUACGGGAGGCAGCAGUGGGGAAUAUUGCACAAUGGGCGGAAGCCUGAUGCAGCAACGCCGCGUGCGGGAUGACGGCCUUCGGGUUGUAAACCGCUUUCGCCUGUGACGAAGCGUGAGUGACGGUAAUGGGUAAAGAAGCACCGGCUAACUACGUG